rnacentral:lncRNA from 1 species
UUUUUUUUUUUUUUUUUUUUUUUUUGGCUUUGUCUUUUCAGGGCCACACCCACUGCGUAUGGAGGUUCCCAGGCUACCGGGAGAAUCGGAGAUUUGGCCUACACCACAGCCACAGCAACAUGGGAUCCGAGCCACAUCUGCAACAUACACUGCAGCUCAUGGCAACGCUGGACGCUUAACCCACUGAGAAAAGUCAGGGAUCGAACCUGCAUCCUCAAGGAUGCUAGUCAGAUUCAUUUCCACUGAGCCACGACAGGAACUUCGAGGCCAGCUAUUGUUAUGGAUGUAGGGAACCCCUCUGCUUUGCCUCCUAAAGGUCUGUGUCUUUGUCUUUCUGGCUUCCCUAGGAGAAAUUUGACAUUAAAAUAUAAGGAUCUUCUAAAAAAAAUAUUCAUUUCAUUUUCAUUUCUUAAAUUGGAAAAUUCUUUGAAAUCUUGUCUCUGAAAAAGAGAUGUACCCUUAGAUUUUUAAGACUACUCAAGUUAACAAAAUCCAACAAUGAUACCAGAAGGCCUCCAUUGUGCAUGUGUUUAACUUCUGAAAUGCAUAUAAAAAACAUUAAUCUUCCACAUUUAAGUGGAACAAUAGUGACAUAAGGACAAUCCUGAAGAAUGACUCCUUCAACACUUUGUAAUUCUCAUAAACAACCUUUUCUUAGGAAAGCCAUAAAAAGAGUCAGUUUUUCCUGAGUCGGAGCAAUUUUAUCUAACUAAUAGCACCCUCUGGACUUUUAAAAAAUCAACAUUUUCUGUGACAAAUCAAAUUUGGACGUGCCUCAUAAAGAAGCUCCCAAGGGGACAUUCAUGCUUAUUUUCUUCCUUAAGAGCUAGAGCAAAGGUUAGCAAAUCAUGGCCUGAGGGCCACAUUUGGCCCUCUGACUGGUUUUAUAAAUAAAGUUUUAUUGGAACACAGACACAGUCUUGUUGGCAUAUUGCCUAUGGCUAUUUUCAAGCAUAGGGACAGAGUUGAGUAAUUCUAAAGUAACCACCUGGCCCCACAAAGCCUAAAAUAUUUGCUCUCAGGCCCUUUACAAAAGAAAACUUGCUCUCUCCUGAUCUGAAGGAAUCUGCAUCACUCCUUUAGACGGAAAGUCAGGAUACUUAGAUUUUUGACUCCAUUCCGCCAGUAAACUGCUAUUUGACCUUGGGGCAAGUAAUCACUUCUCUCAGGGUUAACUUCUUAUUUAUAAAAGGAGGUUCAGCCCAGGCGAUCAUUUAUUCUUCUAAAUGUCUGUGCUCCAAGGGGUUAAGAUAUUUCCUCAUAAUAUGAUAGUUUAAAGAAAUCCAAAUUAAUUUGAAAACAAGCCUUUCUCCCAAACCCAUGUUUACUGUGAAAGGUUUCACAUCAUUUCCAGCAUUUAACAACCCAGUGAUACCCCCUUGCUACCGUAUCAUGGACACGCCAGAAAGCUGCAGAUUAGAGCUGGAAAGAGAAUGUAAACAGCAGUAAAAUCUGUUUUAGACAAGGCAGCACAUCUGGCCCACACUCUCCUAGAACAGAUGCACUGCAUUGCUUGUGCCAGAGAUGAAUGUUCUUUUCUGUCAUGGUUUUGGGAGGUGAGCGCCCUUUCUCUGCCACAGCUCUGGGAUCUGAAGGGAAACAGCGGGAGUCUCCACACAAAAAAAGCCCUUUGAAUUGAUGGCAAAAGCAAAACUCCUUUGUUUCAUGAGGAAUGGGGCUGUGUACUGUCAGAACGUGGGUGCUAUGGGCACCUUCUACUUUAAGCCCUUUCUCUCUGGACACAUGACACAAGGCUAGAAAAGUAACAAAAUGAUGGUAGAGCAAAAAUAGUCUCCUUUCUUCCAAACUCUCCCCAACAACCAAAGAAUCUUUUGCAAUUGCUUUUUUGACAGAGUAAAAUACUUCAGAUACUACAUUACCCUAAAACCAAAGACCCCGAAAGUGCUUUAAACAGAGGGCAGAAAAUACAAUUGAUCUCAAUGCUAAUGACUAUGAUUUUAAAACCAGCAAGCCUGUUAUCUUUAAAAUAAACAUUUUUCUGGAGUUCCUGUCGUGGCGCAGUGGUUAUAGAAUUUUUAAAUUACAUAUGUAUUUUGGUUAAAUUAUACAGUAUUUCUGUUGGAUAGUGCCACUCUAUUCUCCACUGUUACUAUGAGGGAACUACCCUGUUCUUAGCUAAGACCAAGCCACUCCCUCCCUGGGCAUUGAACUCUUCUCUUCUCUCCCACUCAAGACCUUCACUCCAGCAAGUCUCACUGCUGUCCCCUUCACCAACUUCCCCCUUAGGAUUGGAUCAUUCCCGUGUGCAUACAAACAUGCUGCUAUAGCUCCUAUUAAAAACAAAACAAAACCCAAAAACCUCUUGAUCCAGUUACCACCUCAUCUAUUUAUAGUAGCAUACCUCAAAAAUGUUGUCUAUACUCACUGUCUCCAAUUAUUCUCUUAUGAAUCCACUUCCAUUCCCACUCACUCCACCAAAAUGGCUCCUGCCAUGGAAGGGUGCAUACAAGCUGGCUGGAACCAACUGUUAAAUGUUUAAGAACUUUGCAAACUUCCUCUUAAACUAUUGGUAGCUUGAAAUUGGCUAUGAUGGAAGUAUUUAUAACAUGGAGAUUGGUCCACACUGCAAAUCAGAAGAGCUAGUCUACCAGCACAGCAGUGACUGAAAGUUACCAAUGGCCUUCACCAAAUUUUAUACUCAAUCAUCAGUCUUCAGCCUACCUAAUUUAUUGGUAGCAUUUGGCAUGGACAAACACUCUUCCCUUCACUUUUUUCUCCAUUCCCUUGUGGGGGCAUCGACUUCUCCUAUGUCUUCUUCUUCACUGGACACUCUUCUUGUUUCCUUUGCUGGUUCCACUUCAGCUCUCUGACCUCCAAGUACUGGAGAAUCUUACAUUCAAUCUAAACACCUCUUCUUUUCUUCACCUACACUUCUCUGGUGUUUUUAGCCUUGUGGCCAUAAAUACCCAAAUGUGUACCUGCAGGGCCAGACCUCACUCCUGAAUUCCAGCUGACCUAUCCCUUGCCUAUAUGGUAUCAUCCCCUGGUUGUCAAACAGGCAUGUCAAACUUAACAGGUCAAAAUAAAAUUUUGAAUUCUCCUCACCCACUUUCUUCCCCUGUUUCCAAACAUGAUGUUCUAAUAAUAUUCCCCAGCUCAAUAAAUGGCAAUUCUAGUUAUACAGGCCACACAUUUUGAAUUAUCCUUGGUUUUGCUCUUUCUCUGAUAGCCCACAUCCAAAGCACUGGCACUCCUAUUGGCUCUAUCUUUAAAACAUAUCCUAUCUUACUUAGAAUAAAAGCAAAUCUUUCUAAUGGUCUACGAAGCCCUACAAAGCAUUCCCGCUACUUCUCUGAUCUCAUCUCCCACCAAGUUCCUUUAGCUUACUCUGAACCAGCUGGAACAUCUUAGUCAACAAAGAUGCUCCUGGCUCAGAGCCUUUGUACUUGCUGUUCUCUCUCCCAGAUGGUCACAUGGCUCACGCCCUGACUUCAUCCUGCAGGACUAUCCUAUUUGAAAUAAAUCCCUUCUGUGGCACUUAUCACCCUAUGACACACUAUUUCGUCACCUGUUGGUGUGUUUAUCUUCAGCCUAGCCUCAGCAGGUGUAUUAUUUGUUUUUAAUUGCUGUACACCUAACAUCUGUCAGAGUGCUUGGCACAUAUUGAAAGUUCGGUCAAUGUUUGUUGAAUGAAUGAAAAAACUGAUAUCGUAUUGACAGCUUUGGAUCACGAAGAAAGCUCCUAUCAUUGUCUGUGAAGCAUUAAGUGAUGGACACAUCUUAAAUGGCAUGGUAUUUGAUUUUUCUACCAGUCUAUAUUUGUGUACAGACUCAUUAGUGAGGGAUGUUUUUCGGCCUGACAAAACAAUCAAAUCCGACUUACUUUGGAAUUAAUGGUGAUGAUGACAAUACAAACUCUUUAAUACUGUCUUUUUAAAAGUGGGCUCUCAAGGAUGUCUCCAUCUGAAAGUUCUCUCAAUUUUGUACUGGGGGCACAUGCAGGAAUUCUGAUGGAAACAACUGGAGUUAUCCUCUAGGACCGUGGCCCUGGUUGAUUUGUGGAGAGGUGAAACGAGGUGAAGGGAGCGUAGGGGACAAUGAAACAUGCCAAAGGUUCUAACAAUAAAGUAAUCUUUAAAAAAAGACAUAUACACAACAAAUGGUGAUUUUCACCUCCUAAAUCCCUCUUUCUCUUCUGCCCAGAAAACCAAGGUUGAAGUUGCACAAUGAAAACCGUAUCUCCCCAACUCCUAUGUCUCUUUAGUAGACUAAAGGUGGCAUGGGACAGAUAGGAAGCAAUCCUUUCACCCCAUCAUCUCUGGGAUUUUCACAGGGAGAUGUUUCUGGUAUCUCUCUACCUAGAAAUCAGAACACACACCAUGACAUAGACAGUUCUCAGCAAUGUAUAGCACUAUUUUUUUUCAAGAUACUUAGAUAAUUAAAUAGAUGGGCCUAACUUUUAAUGAUCAUUUAUAAUAUUUUUUUUUUGUCUUUUUGCUAUUUCUUGGACCACUCCCGUGGCAUAUGGAGGUUCCCAGGCUAGGGGUCUAAUCGGAGCUGUAGCCACUGGCCUACGCCAGAGCCACAGCAACGCGGGAUCCGAGCCGCGUCUGCAACCUACACCACAGCUCACGGCAACGCCGGAUCGUUAACCCACUGAGCAAGGGCAGGGAUGGAACCCGCAACCUCAUGGUUCCUAGUCGGAUUCGUUAACCACUGCGCCACGACGGGAACUCCUAUAAUAUUAUUUUUAUGGGCUAUUAUGAGAUCUGAAUUCUUGCCCUAAAAUUGAGUUUUUGGAUUAUAAAUUGGAAAAUGCCUACACUAUUAUAUUUAUUAUUAUUAUUAUUAUUAAAUUUCUAGUCAAGUCCAAAAGCCAAGUAUACUUUAACUUUCUAUGGUGAUAGGAACAAUCAGUAGCGAUUAUCCCUCAGAUUUAUGAGGCAUUACAGGUUCCCUUCUCAGUUGAAAAUGUCAGAGAAGCAUCAGUGGAAAAAAAUAGGCCUACAAAUGAGGCCAAAACAAACCAUUUAAGCACCAGGUAGUAUAGCAAGAAGUCUCCUGGAUGUAUGGCCUGGCUAAUUUCCAUUCCAUUGUUUGUACUUUGACCCAUAAAAUUAUGUUUUUGGUGUUGGUGGGGAAUAUAUGCUUCUCUCUCAAUACAAACACACACGCGCACGCAUGCACGCGCAAUGGAUGAUGAAUGAAGUCAACCAAAAUUUAUUGAAAAUGUACUACUACACAUUGAGUUCUUUAAAUAAUGUACUAGUUAAUAGUUACCGCCUACAUAUAUAUCAAGCAUUUCACGUGUAUUAUGUCUCAUCCCCACAAAGAUGAGAGCAAACCCUUAGGGCCCUGUUCUCAGCACUUUACCUUGACUCGUUCCUUUAAGAUGCUCAGCAGUCCUAUGAGGUGGGUAUUAGCACCAUCUCCAUCUUCAGCUGAGGCAGCCAAGGCACAGACCAGGGGUAUGAGAUUUGCCCAAGGCCCUAUCAGCUACAAACAGGGAAGCUGAGAUUUAAACACAAGCAGUCUGGUUUUCAUGUUCUUAGUCAAGUGUACCUUGCUUCCCUUUUCACAGCAACCUCAAGGCAAGCACCUUCGUUAUUGCCAUUUUCCAGGUGAAGAACUACAGGAAGUCCUCUGCACAAGGUUGCCCAGGUAGAAGGCAUAGGUGUGACAAGCCCAGGUGUGACACGAAAGCCUGGGUUCUUACAAACCCACACGCCCACUCUCAAAACUCCCACUCUACUCUCUUGUCUCUUCAAAUGAGUACUUAGUUCCUCAAAGUCUACUGGCGUGCCUUCGAAUUAUUUUGCAUAAUCUCCCAACCACAGAAAAACCCAAGGCUCUGCCUAUAAUAGAUGUUCAACAUGGGAAAGAAACUCAUACAAAGAGUGAUUUUGCAUCGAAGGCAAAGAUGAGAAGGAAAAAAAAAAAAAAAAAAAAAA